AUACCGGAGGGUGGCAAGGCGUUAAUUCGGAAUUUACUGGGGCGUAAAGCGCACGCCAGGCGGGUCUGUCAAGUCGGGAUGUGAAAUUCCCCGGGCUCAACCUGGGAACUGCAUUCGAAACUGGCAGGGCUGGAGUCUUGUAGAGGGGGGUAGAAUUCCAGGUGUAGCGGUGAAAUGCGUAGAGAUCUGGAGGAAUACCGGUGGCGAAGGCGGCCCCCUGGACAAAGACUGACGCUCAGGUGCGAAAGCGUGGGGAGCAAACAGGAUUAGAUACCCUGGUAGUCCACGCCGUAAACGAUGUCGAUUUGGAGGUUGUGCCCUUGAGGCGUGGCUUCCGGAGCUAACGCGUUAAAUCGACCGCCUGGGGAGUACGGCCGCAAGGUUAAAACUCAAAUGAAUUGACGGGGGCCCGCACAAGCGGUGGAGCAUGUGGUUUAAUUCGAUGCAACGCGAAGAACCUUACCUGGUCUUGACAUCCACAGAACUUUGCAGAGAUGGAUUGGUGCCUUCGGGAACUGUGAGACAGGUGCUGCAUGGCUGUCGUCAGCUCGUGUUGUGAAAUGUUGGGUUAAGUCCCGCAACGAGCGCAACCCUUAUCCUUUGUUGCCAGCGGUUAGGCCGGGAACUCAAAGGAGACUGCCAGUGAUAAACUGGAGGAAGGUGGGGAUGACGUCAAGUCAUCAUGGCCCUUACGACCAGGGCUACACACGUGCUACAAUGGCGCAUACAAAGAGAAGCGACCUCGCGAGAGCAAGCGGACCUCAUAAAGUGCGUCGUAGUCCGGAUUGGAGUCUGCAACUCGACUCCAUGAAGUCGGAAUCGCUAGUAAUCGUAGAUCAGAAUGCUACGGUGAAUACGUUCCCGGGCCUUGUACACACCGCCCGUCACACCAUGGGAGUGGGUUGCAAAAGAAGUAGGUAGCUUAACCUUCGGGAGGGCGCUAACCACUUUGAUUCAAUGGCCCG
rnacentral:rRNA from 1 species